UGUGCAUUUAUGGAAAAGGAACAUUUGUUCUCAAGAUUGCAUUUGCUAGAAGCGAGUUGGAUGUAUUCAGUUUUAUCUUUUUGUGUUGAUGGUGGCUAAAAACGUGAGAUCUUCCUUCACUGACAAGUUUAAGAGAAACAACAGGAGGUUCAAAUAUCCAUGGAGAUUUUUCCUCUGAGACUCUGAUGGUUACCUGAAUCCUUGAAGACACUUUCUUAUAACUAUUUUAUUUUGACAAAUGUGAAAAUGGGUGAAAGAAGACUUAAUGGAUUAAGGAAGAUAAUUCCGAGUGUAUCAUGGGACAGCACAUUGGUCAGCCCAGGGCAACAAAAGGAAGGAUAAAUGUUUUAAGAGCAGUGGCUGAAAGUCUUGGAAUCAAGCUGAUAACUCAAAAAGCAAAAUCCAUCUUCAGCCCUCCCAAGGAGACUGGAAGAGGAGUGGUGAUGGAAAAUACCGCUGAUGUACGUGGGGGAGAGGAAGAGAUGCAGUGAAAGGAUUAACAAACAGAUCUGCAACGUUAUUGCAUUGCUCAAGAUGUGGUGACAUAUUUAAGAUGCAUUUCUAGCAAAAAAUAAAAAAAAGAAAAAUUGUAGGCCACUCAUCUAAACAUGGAAAGGAAACGCUCUAGAAAAGAGAGAAGAAAUUCAAGUGGGACUGUGGGAGGUUUGGAGAAGCUUUGGAUGCAGUGCGUAACUGGCAGAAUGACAAUGGUGGCAUGAGGAUGGCUUACAAACUGAUGGGCAAGUGGCUGAGGUGAGUUACACCAACAAAUCAGUGCCACUGAAAUCAGGCCUUGCUAUCUUUAGAACACUUUUGUGUCAAGCUGCGAAUGGUGGUUACUGGAGUGAAGGGAAAGCCACCAGCUGGAUGAACAUUUGCUUCUCCAGAGGGAAAGACUCUGAGAUAUUAUGGGUUUAGUUAUGCUCUAGGAACUCUUAUUAUUCACUUGCCUUGUUUUCUCUUUUCUUCACUAAAAUUUGGAAUAUUUGACUGUUUUGAGUAAAGUAAACUUUGAAGAUGGGCAGAAGUGGUUGCUGUGAGUGCAAUUAGUGUAAUUUCCCCAGCUCUCUGCAUAGGUCCUCAAGCAAGUGUUUAUCUAAGAAGUCCCUUAAAUUUAAAUGCAUCUGUGUUCUCAGCUGAAUCACUACAG